UACGUAGGGGGGCAAGCGUUGUCCGGAUUUAUUGGGCGUAAAGAGCGUGUAGGCGGCCAUGUAGGUCCGUUGUGAAAACUCGAGGCUCAACCUCGAGACGCCGAUGGAAACCAUGUGGCUAGAGUCCGGAAGAGGAGAGUGGAAUUCCUGGUGUAGCGGUGAAAUGCGCAGAUAUCAGGAAGAACACCCGUGGCUAAGGCGGCUCUCUAGUACGGUACUGACGCUGAGACGCGAAAGCGUGGGGGAGCAAAACAGG
rnacentral:rRNA from 1 species